CAUGGAGUUAUUUUUAGGGGAUUCUAUCUGGGAGGAGAUUGCUUCCCAGACUAAUCUAUAUGCUACCCAAUUUAUUGAUACCAAUUCAGGAAUCAAAGAACAUGCUUGGCAUUCCACAGAUCUCCUUGAACUCAAACAAUUCUGGGCUCUUACUAUGCUCAUGUGUAUUAUAAAGAAGCCAUCAAUUCAUUCCUACUGGAACACUUUCUGGUUU